CUCAGCGAAAUUGUGAAGCGUCUUUUGAAAAUUGGAAAAAGUGUGAAAGUACAAAUGAUAUGUGUGAAGUUUGAAAAAAAGUGAAAUAUCUCUCGAGGGAGGUAUCAGUCACUUGAAGAAAUAGAUUUGCUGAAAGGAGGUCAUGUUUUAUACUUAGGUCUUCCUGAUUUUUGGGUUCGCUUCGCACUUUCUAAUAAACUUUUCCACAACAUUUUAUAUUUUUGGCGAGUUGAAUCCUAUAAUUAUAUUUAAGCUAUGAAAUAGUGCACCUGAUCGGAGUAUCAUAUUACAAGGUGAUGGGAAAAGUGCAAGUUGUUCCGUGUUUUUUAAUCUAAUAACUGACAGGCUUGUAGA
ensembl:ncRNA C16D9.15 ncRNA